rnacentral:rRNA from 1 species
GAAUAAGCACCCGGCUAACUCUGUGCCAGCAGCCCGCGGUAAUACAGAGGGUGCAAGCGUUAAUCGGAAUUACUGGGCGUAAAGCGAGCGUAGGUGGCUUGAUAAGUCAGAUGUGAAAUCCCCGGGCUUAACCUGGGAACUGCAUCUGAUACUGUUAGGCUAGAAUAGGUGAGAGGAAGGUAGAAUUCCAGGUGUAGCGGUGAAAUGCGUAGAGAUCUGGAGGAAUACCGAUGGCGAAGGCAGCCUUCUGGCAUCAUAUUGACACUGAGGUUCGAAAGCGUGGGUAGCAAACAGGAUUAGAUACCCUGGUAGUCCACGCCGUAAAACGAUGUCUACUAGUCGUUGGGUCCCUUGAGGACUUAGUGACGCAGCUAACGCAAUAAGUAGACCGCCUGGGGAGUACGGCCGCAAGGUUAAAACUCAAAUGAAUUGACGGGGGCCCGCACAAGCGGUGGAGCAUGUGGUUUAAUUCGAUGCAACGCGAAGAACCUUACCUGGUCUUGACAUAUCUAGAAUCCUGCAGAGAUGCGGGAGUGCCUUCGGGAAUUAGAAUACAGGUGCUGCAUGGCUGUCGUCAGCUCGUGUCGUGAGAUGUUGGGUUAAGUCCCGCAACGAGCGCAACCCUUGUCCUUAGUUACCAGCGGGUUAAGCCGGGAACUCUAAGGAUACUGCCAGUGACAAACUGGAGGAAGGCGGGGACGACGUCAAGUCAUCAUGGCCCUUACGACCAGGGCUACACACGUGCUACAAUGGUAGGUACAGAGGGCAGCUACACAGCAAUGUGAUGCGAAUCUCAAAAAGCCUAUCGUAGUCCAGAUUGGAGUCUGCAACUCGACUCCAUGAAGUAGGAAUCGCUAGUAAUCGCGGAUCAGAAUGCCGCGGUGAAUACGUUCCCGGGCCUUGUACACACCGCCCGUCACACCAUGGGAGUUGAUUGCACCAGAAGUGGAUAGCCUAACCGUAAGGAAGGCGUUCACCACGGUGUGGUUGAUGACUGGGGUGAAGUCGUAACAAGGUAA